GCAACAAGGGUGGCAGGAGCCUCACAUUUUAGGCUUUGAAAAUCUGUGAAAUCAGCUGCAGGUCCUGUAAAGCCUUUGUGUUGCAGAACUACUGGAAUAUACUUCAGAGCUUCGGAUUGUGGCCAAGUUAAAGACAGAAGCAAGGAAAAAAAAGCACAGUUAAAUCAGCUUCUCAUUUGGUGCCUCCCGGUUCACGUCUCAACGCUAGACAGUGUUGACUCCGCAGCUCAGAAAAAUCUGGAGUUGGAGGGGUCCUCACAGAUUAUGCAGUCCUUCUGUCUAAACUGAGGAAACAGAGACACCCCCCAAAUCCCCUGGAUGGUAAGUGACAGGGAAUCAGUAAUGAUGGAGGUGGGAACCCCAGCUAAACCUCCAGGAUGAGCAC
rnacentral:lncRNA from 1 species